GCUGCAGCCGAGAGUUGGGUUCCUCUUAGCCGUGGCUGGUCAGUAACAUAGCAAAGCAGUUGGCUUUACCUCUGCACCAUUGCUCGAGUACAAUGGCCUCGCAAGGCCGCAUCUCUUUGCUGCAAGUUGCUAUCUACCGCUUCUUUUGUCCUUCGAUCCUAAACUUCAUGGUCAUGGAGCCGUAGUCAGUGACUAUUUUGCCCAAACUCCGUAGCCAUGUGUUGCCCAGGACUAUAUCUAGUCCGACAAACUAAAGCACAUGCAGGUCCGCUUUGAUUCGGA
rnacentral:lncRNA from 1 species